GCAAGCACUUUGGUUCUGUAGCUUUCACAGAGCUGUCAAGAGAAGUUUUCAAGAGUAUAAUAGAUCUUCAAGAAUUUUUUAAACGAAAGCUGAAAUUGUGCUUCUAAACACACAAGGCAAAGCUAGUUCAGACUGAGUUCCUAUUGCAAGUGCUGCCAUUGCUGCUCUUGGUGCUGGCAUUUCCUACUUGCUGCUUCAGGACUGAGAUGUUCCACAGCUGAAGUUCAUGACGGCUGAAUGUCCAUUUGUGUUCCAUCAUCCUUCAAGUGGCUGAUGUACAGAAUUAAAUACUCUCAAAAUGUUA